AUUUUCCUAAACUAAUAGAAACAAUAUAGAAAUAUCAAAUAAAAGAAUAUACACUUUGUAAAGUUCAUGGAAAUUCGAAAGAAGCAAAUUAAUCAUCUGCGUGCUUCGCCCGAGGAAAGAGUUCCUGGCAAAUGUCAGGAAAAGCCAAGUUAAAGACAGAAUCGAAGAAUGCGUUUAUAUCGUUCGCGAAAGACAACGCGGUGCUCGUUGUCUCGUUAAGUCGACAGAGAUCGAGCGUUCGUUCCUUUGGUCUGCGAGAAAGAGCAUCGCCCCUUUUCAAUACGUCAACCUCAUUCUACCUCCGGGGACCCUGGAAUCUUUUCUCUGAGCUAGGUAACUCACGAAGACGUCCUUUGCAUAAGGGAACACGGUCUUUGAUAAAAGAGAAAAAACAAGGAUCCAAGAAAUAACGAUGCUGUGGGAAAGUAAACAAAGCUUAUAAAAAAAACGGGAAGUUUUAAACAACAAAAUUGCAACAACAGCGAAAAAUACGAACGUUGGAAACGAGAACGUUGCAGAACGAAGAAGAUCAGAAGAAGGAAGUGUCUAAAAAAAACUGAGAAAAAAGAAAUAAGAGGAAAGAAUAAUGGAUAUGAAGAUGCAUUAGUUGCAAUAGAACAAAAAAAUAUUUUGAUUGCAAACUUGUCAAAAAAAAGUGCUUGAAUUUAGACGAGAAGUCAUAUGACAAAUAAGAAAUAUUGGUUUUAUAUACAAGAAGUUCAAAGAAUUUUUAAUACUACAAAUAGAAAACGCGAAAAUUUUAACUACUUUAGGAUGAGAGAAAGGGGGAGUACAAAAAAUAUCAUGAAAUUCAACGAUAAUACUUGAGAGCCUAUAAAUAUUUGAAACAGAUCUUAUAUAUAUCGAAAACUAAAGAUAAGAUAACCGGAUCAUAUGUGCCCUAUUCGCUAUUUAUAAAUACUAUAGUAAAGUUAAUAGAUAGCUUAAUAAGGAUAGUGCAGGCUAUUCGUUGACUAUUAAUGAAUUAAAAGUUUUGCUAAUCUUUUUUUCAAGACUUUCAGAGCAACCACAUUCAUUCCGUUUUACAGAAGAGCAUGUGUAAAGAGUAUGUUUCACCCAAGUCGAACCAUUCCGGACCCAAGUCCAACAUCGGUAACGAUUGCGGUUUUACCAAGCCAACGAUCUAUAAUUGUCUGUCUCCUCGUCCAAUAUUACUCGCAACCGCUACGAUGAGGAGACGGAAUUCAUCCUGUACCGCGGGGAUCAGCGUCGCAGUGGAUUAAACUAUGCACGGCCAUGUCGGGAAUGCGUUGAUAACAUUAUGCGCAUCUUUUUCCCUCAUGAAUGUCACCGAGAUGCAGACGGAUGGAACGAGUGGAUUUAUAACGGAGGCGAAAGAUUCCCGUGCUCACCUCGACAAGACCACAAUUCGCAACUACGAAUUAAACAAGAAAUGCGACAAUAGUAGCAACGGCAAUGUUAAGGAAAAAGCGUAGAUUCUAAGGGAUGUCAGAGUGUGAGAUAACGUGCAUGGUUUAGGUCGUACUAAACGGGUAUACUAAACGGGUCGCCGAACAAGAAUACGCGCUCCAGCUACUGCAGCUGCGACAUUCUAACUGCUACAUGUAUAUGCCAUAUUAUAUAUAUUAACUCGUGCAGAAAAAAACAUUCUUAAUGAAAAGACAAUUAAGAGGAGACAUAGG